rnacentral:lncRNA from 10 species
UCUGAACCCCGGCGGGGCCUGUGUGCUCAGAUCUUCCCACAGCGUACCCCUGAAGCCCAGCUCAGGCAGCCUGAGGAUUAGAAUAAAUGAAAAUCAUUAUCUGAGCUGUUUGGCACACGUGCGUGUGCAAGAGCCAGGGGCCAUUUUCAAGGGAAAAUGCCCGUUGCAGUUUCCUAAAUCCUUUCUCAUUUUUGACUUAUUUGAUCCUGGCAACAACUUGGUGAGAUUGGUUUAUCCGUGAGUCCAUUUCACAGGCAGGAAAGUGGUGUCGCAGGGAGGCCGAGUGACUUGUCCACAGCCACGCAGCUGGGAAACGGGGAGACAGAUUCAGACCACUCAAAGAAAUCAUCUAGAACAACGUCCGCAAGACUGGCGGUGCAACUGUCCCCCUUGGAACCUCUCGGGAACACAGCCUCUGUCUCCUCACCGCAGAGCAGCUGCGUCAGACUCCCAGACGGCGGGGCCUAGGGAUCUGUGUUUUGGUUUUGGGAUCUGUGCAAAUCCACAUGACUCAAUAAUCCAAACAUACAGAGAGCCUGGGAACCCUUACCCCGCUCUGGCGCCCUAUGUGUCCGCUUUCAUUGGCUUCUUGUAUUUCCGGCUUGUUUUCUUUAGGGAGGCAGCAAAUACAAGAUACGGUCCACUUUUAUCUUUCCCCGCUCAGAAAAUAAAGAUACCACAGCC